UGGGGAAUAUUGGACAAUGGGCGAAAGCCUGAUCCAGCCAUGCCGCGUGUGUGAAGAAGGUCUUCGGAUUGUAAAGCACUUUAAGUUGGGAGGAAGGGCAUUAACCUAAUACGUUAGUGUUUUGACGUUACCGACAGAAUAAGCACCGGCUAACUCUGUGCCAGCAGCCGCGGUAAUACAGAGGGUGCAAGCGUUAAUCGGAAUUACUGGGCGUAAAGCGCACGUAGGUGGUUUGUUAAGUUGGAUGUGAAAUCCCCGGGCUCAACCUGGGAACUGCAUUCAAAACUGACUGACUAGAGUAUGGUAGAGGGUGGUGGAAUUUCCUGUGUAGCGGUGAAAUGCGUAGAUAUAGGAAGGAACACCAGUGGCGAAGGCGACCACCUGGACUAAUACUGACACUGAGGUGCGAAAGCGUGGGGAGCAAACA
rnacentral:rRNA from 1 species